UCGGCAUUUGCUAGCCAUAGUCGUUUUACUGCUAAAACCCUCUAAUGGUAGAAACCCCUCUUCCCUCACUGCCCAUCCAUAGUUCACUGACACUGACCAAAUAACCAGAACCCACAAAUGAUAUUCGUCAGAAAAUUCAAUUCUUGGUACUUCUUACAAAUUCUUCAACUCCAUAAACCUCCCUUAAACCCUAUAGCCUCAACAAUAUUGAACUCUUCAACCCCAUAUCAAUCUGCACAAUUUUCAUCAUCUCUUUUGAGACCCUUUUCCGUUUCAGCUCAGUCUCAACAGAAAGAAUCAACCAAUUCAGAAAUUGUAUCCAAAAAGAAACACAAAAAACCAUUGGGUGUUUUCUUUCAAGAAGCUGUUGGACUCUUAGAAAAGUCUGAACAAUCAGAAAAAAGUGAGGAUGAAACUGAAACCGAAAGCGAAAUCAAGGUGCUGAAGUGUAAAUUAAGAAACUUGGAGGAAGAAGUGAGGAUUUUGCUUGAGAAGAAGAAAAAUGAAAAAGCUAAUAGGAAGGAGGAGGAUGAUAAAAUUGGUAAUGGGGUGUGUGAAAAUGAGGGAAAGAGGACAAAUUUGCAUGAAUUAUUUGUGAAUGAGGAGGGUAAGAAUGUAAAAUCAAGUAAGUCAACGCCGUUGACUGUGGAGGCUAGAAGUGGUAAUUGGGUGUGUGAAAAUGAGGGAAAGAGCAAAACUUUACAUGAAUUAUUUGUGAAUGAGAAGGAGAAUAAGAGUGUAAAAUCAAGAAAGUCAACGCCGUUGACUAUGGAGGAUCAUAAUGUGUACAAAGAACUUUCACCUGAUAUGGUGAUGUUUGUGACACAUUUAUACAAUGAAGGGUACUUUAAAGAUUCAAACUUUUUGCCUAGGAAGAGGUUUGACAUUACUUGUUUUGAGAAUAGCUAUGCCCGCGAUUUUGUAAAGUACGCAGCUGAGCAGUUUGGUAGAGAUCACCAAGAGAUUGCUAAAUGGUUGUCUGGCAGUGACUUGAAAAAGGUGGCCCUUUUUGGUUGCCCUUCCAUUGCAAAGAAGACUGUUUUUUCUGCUAAGAGGUUGCGUACAUAUUUCAGAAUUCAAGAAGACAAUGUAUGCAGCAAAUGUGCCUUAAAAGCGUCAUGCAAGUUUGUGAAUCAGAGUGUGUGGAAAGGCGAUAUGACUAAUUUACACUUGGCUGUUGUAAUGAGGGUUAUUACUUUGUAUGCGUUGGAGUCAGUCCCACCGCAGUUAGUAAUACCAGAUGAAAUAAAGGCUUCUGUCAGUCGAUUGCUGAAGGACAUUGUGAGACUUAGUCAAACUGUGUCUUAGCACUUCUUCAGAAUCAGACGAGUUGAUCAGCGUACAGGUAGUCUAAUUGUUGAUGAUGUGCUAUAUCCUGGUCUUGCUAGUUCUAUGCCUGGUCGCACUAUAUUAUGUCGUGCUUAUUUUACGAAGUGUAACAAAGUCAAAUAUUCUUGAAAAGCAUGAAUUUUCCUUGAUCUAAGGCCCAACAUUUUUAACAAGACUGCAUUCAGCCUUACAGAAAAUGUAUUAUGACGGUCAACUGAAAACCGAAGUGUAACGAAGUCAAAUAUUUGCGUUUGCAGGAAGUAUAUCAAAAGGUCUCUCAUUGAAUAUACAAUAGUAACAAUUUUUCUUUUCAGGUCCCUUCUUGUUUUUUUUUUCAUUAAUGUGGUGCUUAUGCUUUCCUCAUUCGAGGGUCUAUUAGAAACAACCUCUCUAUCUCCACAAGGUAGGGGUAAGGUAUGCGUACACACUACCCUCCCCAGACCCCACUAUGUGGGAUUAUAUGUUGUUGUAACAAUUACUUAUCUAUUUUGAACCUGGAAUAAUUGCUUGAACGUUUGUAGAUGCUUCACCAUUGUGUUAAUUUCUAUUAUAAGUAGUAGAUGACAAUUUGGCCUCUUUUUGCGUGAUCAGCAAUAGGAAUAAACUGAUGGAGAAAGCAUGUCAAUAUUCCAUGCCAAAACUAAGUGGCAGUUCCCUAAUAUAUGAACGAUUUAUAAAUACAUUGCAAGUAAAUAGAGUCCAUCUCGAGGUUUUUGAGACAGAAUAAACGGAGUGAUUAGCAUUAAACCUUCCUUUGUUAGAAAUUUGUUUUACUUUUACAGGCUUACAAUGGAUCAUUUUGAUGAAAACAUAUACUGAGAAAACUGUCAUGACUUUUUUUUAUGUCCUUUUGUUUUGUUUUGACGGUGUUAUCCGGGCUAUUUUGUACCCACCUCGACCAUUCACCGCGUACCUGUUCUCUCCUGUCAAUAUAGUGACAAGAGGGAUGCUUUUGGCUGCUGUCUGAACAAAGCGUAGCGGCUGGCAUUUGAAUAUCAGCAUGUUUGGAUAGCUUGAAUUGGCUGUCACUUUGCCAUCUGCAGACAAGCAUUCCACUCAUUUGUUAGAGACGCGAAGGUAGUAAUCGGGGAAGGAGAGACCCCCAAUUACAGUAGAAGAUAUGCAUCAACUGGCGUGGUUUAACGGUCAACGAAAUGAGUGGAAAUUAUUGGUAAUUUCUUCACAUUUGUCUAAGCGUUGGUGAAUAAAGUUAGCUAGUACUUAUGCUAUACUAGAUAACAAGUACCUAGUGGAACACGACUGUCCAAGCUGGCAGAACACCACUAUUAUGUAUAUUUUGAAAAGAAAAAAAACUCGGGAGAAGAUGUAAUGGGGACAGAGAAAUAGGACUAUUUUGGCACAAUUGAAAACUUAGUGAACUCAAAGGACAUCAAACCUAA